AUGAUACAGUACCGGCAGUUUCUUUGCUCCAGGGCAGGGAGAAGGCAGAGCAAGUUCAUAACCAUGGAGGGCCGCAAGCGCAGGCUUAGACCGGAGACUCGUUGUGAUUGCGGUGCACAUAUGGUGGUGAAGCUGGACAGAGAACGUGGCGUUUUGUUCGUCGCAUCAUUCGUGGAUGAUCACAACCACGCGAUGGGUCGGCCGGACGAGGUUUGUUUUUUAUGGUCACACAGACGGAUUGGAGAUGGCCAGAGGGCCGAGAUAUUGGCGAUGGAAGCGGCCGGGAUAAGAAAGCAUAUUAUAAUGGGCAACUCCAUCAGCAGAUACGGUUCGUACGAUAAGUGCGGGCUUAUCAGGAGGGACAUUUAUAAUCUUUGUUGCAGUGAAAAAAUGAAGCUCAUUGCAAAGGGUGAUGCAGAGACGGCAGUUGGUAUUAUGAGGAGCAGGAAGGAGAAGGACCCUGAGUUUUUUUUUUAG
rnacentral:rRNA from 1 species